rnacentral:rRNA from 1 species
UACGUAGGGGGCGAGCGUUGUCCGGAAUCAUUGGGCGUAAAGCGCGUGUAGGCGGCCCGGUAAGUCCGCUGUGAAAGUCCAGGGCUCAACCCUGGGAUGCCGGUGGAUACUGUCGGGCUCGAGUCCGGAAGAGGCGAGUGGAAUUCCUGGUGUAGCGGUGAAAUGCGCAGAUAUCAAGCGGAACACCAGUGGCGAAGGCGAGUCCCUGGACAACACCUGACACUGAGGCACGAAAGCUAGGGGAGCAAACAGG